rnacentral:rRNA from 1 species
CGUUCCCGGGUCUUGUACACACCGCCCGUCACACCAUGGGAGCGGGUUUUACCAGAAGUAGGUAGCUUAACCGCAAGGGGGGCGCUUACCACGGUAGGAUUCGUGACUGAGGUG